UACAGAGGUCCCAAGCGUUGUUCGGAUUCACUGGGCGUAAAGGGUGCGUAGGUGGCCGGGUAAGUCUGAUGUGAAAUCUCGGAGCUCAACUCCGAAACUGCAUUGGAUACUAUCCGGCUUGAGGGUCGGAGGGGGGACUGGAAUUCUCGGUGUAGCAGUGAAAUGCGUAGAUAUCGAGAGGAACACCAGUGGCGAAGGCGAGUCCCUGGACGACUCCUGACACUGAGGCACGAAAGCUAGGGGAGCAAACAGG
rnacentral:rRNA from 1 species